AAUGUUGAUAACUCCGUCUGGACACUAGUUCGUGUAGUAUUACCAGGUUCACACAGGGGUGUCGGCCAGAACACCACUUAAGGCCAAAUGCUCGAGAGCACGAAAAACACAGAGAGUUGGAAGUUGGUUGAUUUGGGUUUUACUUCGUGUGACUGUGUGGGUGUGUGGUUUUCUACAAAGAGAAAGGGACAACAAAUAUGUCUUAAAUAUGUAAAGCAAUAUGGCACACUUCUUUAUACUAUAGCUUAGCUUAGCAAGAGAGUCUGCAAAUCUACGAAAUGAACACAUGGCGAGCAUCUACACUCUAAACGGAGACUCAAUAACAGUUCACAGUGCAAUUAUCCUUUAGAUUAAUACUCACUCUUUCAUUCACGCACAUCCAGCUUCUUGUCACUUGUCUGUCACUGCACCAGCUCUCAUCACCGCAUGGCCUCACUCACUCACAGUCAAACACUAGCUGGGGAAGCCCCUCCCACAUUGAAAGUGAAAGCAUAACUUAAACAGAACUGAAACCAAACAGGAUUUAACAUAACUUUGGGGCCUUUUCUACAAUACCACUUACAUCAUCAAGGAGAAGAAUUAGAAAUAAAAACAAGAUGCUUGUGUCCUAUAAAAGGAUAUCUGCUCAGUGAGAAACACACCCUAUUGUUCCCUCAUCUCAAAGCUUCUUUUAUUUUUUUAUCCAAAGUGACUUUUUGCAUUUUUAGUUAACACACACCAUAUCAUGCAGGGCUGUUUGCACAUCAUUAUGUCACAGCCUCCUCUUCCCCCCUGCACAGGUGAAGGAAUUCCAUGUGUACUGAUCACCCUUUGCGUCGUGACAAGCUUGGUCCAAGAUGUCAAUAAGCAUUAGCUAGUUAACCUACCAACAAAAAGAGUUGUGGGUUGACAUGGAGCAGUGAAGAGGUCAAUACCUCAUCGACAGUUAGGCGGACUAGCAUGUUUGUCAAGUGUUGGACACCACUCUCAAAAAUAUAGAAGUAGUGAUGUUACGAGAUGUGCCGGAGCUUUGAAGCGUGUGUCGAGUAAUCACUAUAUAGAAGUUUACAAACUAGUGUCAGCACAUGAACGAGAGGCUUUUACUGCUCCAUCACCAAGGCCAAGAAACUCUGACAGCAAUGCAUUGACUUCCUGCUCCCUUGUGUUUCCUGCUCUCCUGAUUACCCCAACGUGUUGCACUUGUGUCUUGUUUAUUCCACUCCCAGUGUAUAUAAGCUCACUCUCCCCUUCCUUCUGUGCCAGUUCGUCUUGUACCAUGUGUCAGAGUUCCAGGAUUUUUCUUCCUGUUUAUGCUCAGGUUUUUGACCAAUUUACUCCUGUCCCCUUUUUGUCUAUGAUUUUUGCCUCUUGUCUUGGAUACCUCUGUCUGUUUGAUUGCCUUCCCGUGUACCAAACUUGUUUCUGAUUAAACAGACUUUGAAUUAU